rnacentral:lncRNA from 1 species
GAAAAAGUUGGUGUUUUGGUUGGAAUCUCCAUUGCGAGGGAAAAACAGAGAGGCAGAGAGAGAAGAUGCAUAUGGAGAAAGGGAUAAGAGAUGAAGAAAGGUAGGAAAUGAAUAGUGAAGUGGAGAUGGAGUGCAGGACAAGGUCAGUUACUGUACAAUUGAAUUUUCAAAUUCUCAUUUUCGUAAUUUGAUUAGUCAAAGUUAGUAGAGUUUAACAUUUGUUUCUUAUGUGUAUUCCAUAGAAUGUCACGUUAUUAUCAUCCGUCUUCUCUACUGCAUAUGGGUAACGGUGGGCCUAGUCAAACAAGAAUUGACUUUUUGGCAGCACCUUUUUGGUGCUAUUAUUCAGCUAUCCAAAUAUUAAGAUGCACUGAGAUUUUAU